GAUGCCGAGCGGUAAUCAGGAGAGUCGGGACUUUUCCUGGUGGGACGGUAGUGUUUCGAGGCCGCGAGGGCCUGUCUGAUAAUAGUUAUACGUUGCAAGUUCUUAGCAACAGCAACCGGGAGCCUGGCCCU